GUGUCCCCAGAUGAGGCUGGAGGACAAUCAACCAUGACUGAGGUUACUGAAGCUGAUAUCUCCACAGCCAGAAAGCAGCAUCCUCAGAAGUCUUCUGUGUCCCCAGAUGAGGCUGGAGGACAAUCAACCGUCACUGAGGUUACUGAAGCUGAUAUCUCCACAGCAAUAAAGCAGCAUCCUCAGAAGUCUUCUGUGUCCCCAGAUGAGG